CAGCAGCCGCGGUAAUACGUAAGUGGCAAGCGUUGUCCGGAAUUAUUGGGCGUAAAGGGCUCGCAGGCGGUUUCUUAAGUCUGAUGUGAAAGCCCCCGGCUCAACCGGGGAGGGUCAUUGGAAACUGGGAAACUUGGGUGCAGAAGAGGAGAGUGGAAUUCCACGUGUAGCGGUGAAAUGCGUAGAGAUGUGGAGGAACACCAGUGGCGAAGGCGACUCUCUGGUCUGUAACUGACGCUGAGGAGCGAAAGCGUGGGGAGCGAACAGGAUUAGAUACCCCUGUAGUCCCUGUCUCUUAUAC
rnacentral:rRNA from 1 species